rnacentral:rRNA from 1 species
UACGUAGGGUGCAAGCGUUGUCCGGAAUUAUUGGGCGUAAAGAGCUCGUAGGCGGUUUGUCGCGUCGGCUGUGAAAACUCGGGGCUUAACCCCGAGCCUGCAGUGGAUACGGGCAGACUAGAGGUAGGUAGGGGAGAAUGGAAUUCCCGGUGUAGCGGUGAAAUGCGCAGAUAUCGGGAGGAACACCGGUGGCGAAGGCGGUUCUCUGGCCUUACCUGACGCUGAGGAGCGAAAGCGUGGGGAGCAACAGGAUUAGAACUACCGAGU